rnacentral:rRNA from 1 species
GAUUAACGCUGGCGGCGUGCAUAACACAUGCAAGUCGAACGAUGAAGCUUAAAUGAUUUCUUCGGAAUGAACUUAAGUGAAUUAGUGGCGAACGGGUGGGUAACGCGUGAGUAACCUGCCUUACACAAGGGGAUAGCCUCUGGAAACGGAGAAUAAUACCCUAUGACAUUACAGCCUCGCAUGAGGAAGUAAUCAAAGUGUUAGCGGUGUAAGAUGGACUUGCGUCUGAUUAGCUAGUUGGUGAGAUAACAGCCCACCAAGGCAACGAUCAGUAGCCGGCUUGAGAGAGUGUACGGCCACAUUGGGACUGAGACACGGCCCAGACUCCUACGGGAGGCAGCAGUGGGGAAUUUUGCACAAUGGGGGCAACCCUGAUGCAGCGACGCCGCGUGAUUUAGAAGGCCUUCGGGUUGUAAAAAUCUUUUGUAUAGGAAGAAAAUGACAGUACUAUACGAAUAAGGUCCGGCUAAUUACGUGCCAGCAGCCGCGGUAAUACGUAAGGACCGAGCGUUGUCCGGAAUCAUUGGGCGUAAAGGGUACGUAGGCGGUUAAAAAAGUUAGAAGUGAAAGGCUAUAGCUCAACUAUAGUAAGCUUUUAAAACUGUUUAACUUGAGAGAUGGAAGGGAAAGUGGAAUUCCUAGUGUAGCGGUGAAAUGCGCAGAUAUUAGGAGGAAUACCGGUGGCGAAGGCGACUUUCUGGCCAUUAUCUGACGCUGAGGUACGAAAGCGUGGGUAGCAAACAGGAUUAGAUACCCUGGUAGUCCACGCCGUAAACGAUGAGUGUUAGGUGUCUGGUGUUAAACUGGGUGCCGCAGCUAACGCAAUAAACACUCCGCCUGGGGAGUACGCACGCAAGUGUGAAACUCAAAGGAAUUGACGGGGGCCCCCACAAGCGGUGGAGCAUGUGGUUUAAUUCGAAGCAACGCGAAGAACCUUACCAGGUCUUGACAUCCCUCUGACCGUUCUAGAGAUAGAGCUUUCCUUCGGGACAGAGGUGACAGGUGGUGCAUGGUUGUCGUCAGCUCGUGUCGUGAGAUGUUGGGUUAAGUCCCGCAACGAGCGCAACCCCUAUUGUUAGUUGCCAUCAUUUAGUUGGGCACUCUAGCGAGACUGCCGGUAAUAAACCGGAGGAAGGUGGGGAUGACGUCAAAUCAUCAUGCCCCUUAUGACCUGGGCUACACACGUGCUACAAUGGCUGGUACAACGAGUCGCAAGCCGGUGACGGCAAGCUAAUCUCUUAAAGCCAGUCUCAGUUCGGAUUGUAGGCUGCAACUCGCCUACAUGAAGUCGGAAUCACUAGUAAUCGCGGAUCAGCACGCCGCGGUGAAUACGUUCCCGGGCCU